CUUGCACCUGAUGGCGAGUGGCGAACGGGUGAGUAACACAUCGGAACGCGUCCUGUAAUGGGGGAUAACCUGGCGAAAGCCAGGCUAAUACCGCAUACGUCCUGAGGGAGAAAGCGGGGGAUUGGCAACGACCUCGCGUUAUAGGAGUGGCCGAUGUCGGAUUAGCUAGUUGGUGGGGUAAAGGCCUACCAAGGCGACGAUCCGUAGCUGGUCUGAGAGGACGACCAGCCACACUGGGACUGAGAUACGGGCCAGACUCCUACGGGAGGCAGCAGUGGGGAAUUUUGCGCAAUGGGGGAAACCCUGACGCAGCAACGCCGCGUGAGUGUUGAAGGCCUUCGGGUCGUAAAGCUCUUUUAGUGGGGAAGAAUCCCACCCGGGCUAAUACCUCGGGUGUCUGACGGUACCCACAGAAAAAGUUCCGGCUAACUACGUGCCAGCAGCCGCGGUAAUACGUAGGGAGCAAGCGUUGUUCGGAAUUAUUGGGCGUAAAGAGCGUGUAGGCGGUUUGUUAAGUCUGAUGUGAAAGCCCUGGGCUCAACCCAGGAAGUGCAUUGGAAACUGGCAGACUUGAAUACGGGAGAGGGCAGUGGAAUUCCUAGUGUAGGAGUGAAAUCCGUAGAUAUUAGGAGGAACACCGGUGGCGAAGGCGGCUGCCUGGACCGAUAUUGACGCUGAGACGCGAAAGCGUGGGUAGCAAACAGGAUUAGAUACCCUGGUAGUCCACGCCGUAAACGAUGAGAACUAGGUGUUGCGGGUAUUGACCCCUGCAGUGCCGCAG
rnacentral:rRNA from 1 species